CUGAUAUAUUAUUAUAACUUGUUUAAUCAAAAGCUACUAUAUAUUCAUUUAUGAUAUUAAAAAUUGAUAUAAUUUUAUCUAAGUGAGAAUAAUUUUAAAAAAAUAUCCAAAUCUCUACAAGUUCCUUGACAUUAUUUUUCCAGUACAGUGUAAAACUAUAUAUAUAUAAAUGUGACACAGGUUGCAGGUAUUAGGUUGCAUGUCCACCAGUGUGCUGAAAAUUAUACCAUCCAGUGACCCGGUCUGGUUCACAUUGUUACUUGCAUCUUGCUUAAUUCAACUGUUUUCGCCCUACAGUAUUUCUUGUACCCAUAAAGUUCUUUUCAAUAAUCUAGAAAACUUCAAAAUCAUUCAGUAAAUUUAAUUUUAAAAUUGGGUGAAAGGUAAGGGGUCAAUAAUAGAUGAAGAAAUCAUUUCUUAUUGUUCAUACAUACUGUAUGGUAUUAGAGUAGGUAUUAGAGUAGAAAUUUAUUGAAGCCUGAAGUCAGAAAAUAAAUAUGGCAACAUGGUUACAUGCCAUACUGCAGAGUUAGGCAAUUUUUAGGCAAGAUCUCAAGGGCACAAAAGGUUUUACAAUGGGGUGCUAAAACUUUUCCCCAAAAAAUCCCUGACCAGCUGGAGUGCUGAAACUGAUGUUUGACUAUUGAAAUAUCCUAGCAGGUUAGGUUCAUCAGAUUUUAGCUUUGUCAACCUGGCCACUCUGUUAUUACAGUAAUGGCUCAUUUAAAUAAUUUCAGGUCAUUACUGUAUAAAUGUAAAUACAAAGUAUUUGAAGUUAAUACUGCUGUAAAAUGUAGUUUAAUUAAUAAUACUGUAUUGAAGUGUAAACACGUUUCUCGCAGCGAUAAAUCAAUAUAUUGUAAAUAAUAAUCAUGUGAGAGUAGAACUUUACUGAGGGUCCGAGUAUAGUAUUAUAGGCCAUAGUCUGGCCAUGUGUU